rnacentral:rRNA from 1 species
GACGUAGGGCGCGAGCGUUGUCCGGAUUUAUUGGGCGUAAAGAGCUCGUAGGCGGUUUGUCGCGUCGGGAGUGAAAACCUUGGGCUUAACUCAGGGCUUGCUUUCGAUACGGGCAGACUAGAGGUAUGCAGGGGAGAACGGAAUUCCUGGUGUAGCGGUGAAAUGCGCAGAUAUCAGGAGGAACACCGGUGGCGAAGGCGGUUCUCUGGGCAUUACCUGACGCUGAGGAGCGAAAGUGUGGGGAGCGAACAGG